rnacentral:rRNA from 1 species
GACGAACGCUGGCGGCGUGCUUAACACAUGCAAGUCGAACGGAAAGGCCCUGCUUUUGUGGGGUGCUCGAGUGGCGAACGGGUGAGUAACACGUGAGUAACCUGCCCUUGACUUUGGGAUAACUUCAGGAAACUGGGGCUAAUACCGGAUAGGAGCUCCUGCUGCAUGGUGGGGGUUGGAAAGUUUCGGCGGUUGGGGAUGGACUCGCGGCUUAUCAGCUUGUUGGUGGGGUAGUGGCUUACCAAGGCUUUGACGGGUAGCCGGCCUGGGAGGGUGACCGGCCACAUGGGGACUGAGAUAGGGACCAGACUCGUACGGGGGGCAGCAGUGGGGAGUAUGGCACAGUGGGCGGACGCCUGAGGCAGAAACGCCGCGUGCGGGAUGACGGCCUUCGGGUUGUAAACCGCUUUCGCCUGUGACGAAGCGUGAGUGACGGUAAUGGGUAAAGAAGCACCGGCUAACUACGUG